AACGUAGGGUGCGAGCGUUAAUCGGAAUUACUGGGCGUAAAGCGUGCGCAGGCGGUUCGUUAUGUCCGAUGUGAAAGCCCCGAGCUCAACUUGGGAAUGGCAUUGGAAACUGGCGGGCUGGAGUGCGGCAGAGGGGGGUGGAAUUCCACGUGUAGCAGUGAAAUGCGUAGAGAUGUGGAGGAACACCGAUGGCGAAGGCAGCCCCCUGGGCCAACACUGACGCUCAGGCACGAAAGCGUGGGGAGCAAACAGG
rnacentral:rRNA from 1 species